UCCUCUGGUUAUUGUGCUUCCACUGGGGACAAGCGCGACAGCUGACUGUCGUCGUUAUGUAUCUGACAGAAGAGGAGCCACACUGGGGUGAACGUGGGGGUCAAACUACUUUGGGGUUAGCUGUAAGGAAAGCUUGGAUACAGCUUUGGUGUUUGCCAUCUUUGCCAGGAUUACCCUACAAAUAAAACUAUGUCCUCGGGUCAUACCUUGCCUAAAUGAACCUGGAGAGAAGUGGGCCAGAGAUCACCCAGGCCCUAGCCGAGUCCAGCAAGAGGCUGAUUGCAUGCUUGCAUUGUCGUAUCCAUGGUAACAGCAUACAAAUGCACA